rnacentral:rRNA from 1 species
GACGAACGCUGGCGGCGUGCUUAACACAUGCAAGUCGAACGGAAAGGCCCUGCUUCUGUGGGGUGCUCGAGUGGCGAACGGGUGAGUAACACGUGAGUAACCUGCCCUUGACUUUGGGAUAACUUCAGGAAACUGGGGCUAAUACCGGACAGGAGCUCCUGCUGCAUGGUGGGGGUUGGAAAGUUAGGGCGGUCGGGGAUGGACUCGCGGCUUAUCAGCUUGUUGGUGGGGUAGUGGCUUCCCAAGGCUUUGACUGGUCGCCGGCCUGAGAGCGUGGCCGGCCACCUUGCGCCUGCGGUACGGCCCAGUCUCCUACGGGCCGCAGCGGUGGGGAAUCUUGCACAGUGGGCGCGCGCCUGAUGCAGCAACUCCGCGUGCGGGAUGACGGGCUUCAGGUUGUGAACCGCUUUCGCCUUUGCCGAAGCGUGAGUGACGGUACUGUGUAAAGAAGCACCGGCUAACUACGUG